ensembl:snRNA U1 U1 spliceosomal RNA
AUUCUUAGCUGGAAGGAGAAAUAUGAUCACAAAGGUGGUUUUCCCAGGGCAACACUCAUCUAUUGCACUCCAGAUGUGUUGACCACUGCAAUUUAUCCAAAUGUGGGAAACCUGAUUGCAUAAUUUAUGGUAGUGGGGGACUGUGUUUGCUCUUUCCCUUA